UCAGGAUGGUCUUCCCCUUCAUUCCUGCCUCACUUCAGGGUGAGGCAGGGAAAUGGCCAGACUCACCACCUUCCUUACAGAAGAUAAGCAGCACAGCACCGCCCAGCAGCUGGAGGCAGCUAAGGAGGGGAAGAUGGUCAGAAACUGAAGGAUAGCUGAGAAGUUGAGAGCAUAUCAGCAGAAGAACAGGCCUGGUGAUCUUGCAGCAAGA